AGUUUUAUUAAAAGAAAAAAGGGUGAAAAGAACAAAGUUUUGUCCAUCUUUGUUCAUCAUAGCUAAAAAUUAGAGAAGAGAAAGGAGAGGAGAAAGCUCUUGAGUAUUCGGUCAUUAGGAGGAGAAAAAUUGAAGGAAAUCCCCAACCAUAGUGGGCUUGGAGCUGUGAGGGAAUUCGGAGUGGCCACCCGUUCUGAAAGUUUGAUUUUCUUCUGGUGAACUGGACAUCCUUUUAAUUAUGUUUGAGGUUUUGGGCUUUUAAAUGUAAUAAGGCCGCUUAUUUA